rnacentral:misc_RNA from 1 species
CCUCUCUUCUGUUUCUUCCUAUUUAAAUCCCCUGAGACACAACGGUGGCGCAUCAGAUCAUCCACAAACCGCUCAACAAAAUCCCAAAUUCUAUCAAUAUCAACCACUUUGACCAAUCCUAAUUCAACAACAAUCAUGUCUCUUAUUCCAAGCUUUUUCGGUGGCCGCCGGAGCAACGUCUUCGAUCCCUUCUCCUUAGACCUUUGGGAUCCAUUUGAAGGCUUCCCAUUUCCAACCACACUCGCCAACCUCCCUUCCUCUGCUCUUGAGACCUCUGCCUUUGCCAAUACUCGCAUCGAUUGGAAAGAGACCCCCCAAGCCCACAUCUUCAAGGCCGAUCUUCCUGGUAUCAAGAAGGAAGAAGUCAAAGUAGAAGUGGAAGAAGGCAGAGUGUUGCAAAUCAGUGGAGAGAGGAGCAAAGAGCAGGAGGAGAAGAACGAAAAAUGGCACAGAAUUGAACGGAGCAGUGGGAAGUUCAUGAGGAGAUUCAGGCUGCCGGAGGAUGCUAAAGUGGAGGAGGUGAAGGCAAGCAUGGAGAAUGGAGUUCUGACUGUGACAGUGCCCAAAGUGGAAGUGAAGAAGCCGGAAAUCAAAUCCAUUGACAUCUCUGGCUAGACAAUUACUGUUCUUCCUUUUGCAUUUGUCCCUGUUCGAAUCAGUUUGUAUGAAUGGGUUUUAAAUAAAGUGUCAAAAUUGGGGUUUUAAUCUGGGUGUGUUCUGUAAUGUUUGUGAGUUUGGGAAGAUUAAGGAAAGUUGGGUUAUUAUAUGUUUAUGUAUGAUAUGUUACAAAGGUGAUGAAUAUAAUGAAGUUGUGAGUUUUGUUUAAUUAUAAAGUUUUGAAAUGGGUCAAGUUUAAUGAGGAG